UCUUUAUUUCCCCAAUACACCAACUCUUCGGAAACGCUGUGUAGCUGCCAAAGCGCUUUCCUGGCCGUUGGCUUCCUGGCGCUUCUCCACAUCCCGGGGAGGACUUUGCACGUCGCUGAGCACACCGAAGGUGCUCGAGCAGCACUGGGGACACGGAAUGGAACGAGAGAGAUGGCUGCAGAGGCACUGCAGAGGCUGGUGGGGACGGGAGGCCUUGCUGAGGCACCUGACGAACUGCUCUGGCCACAGCUGGAGGGGCUGUCCUGUCACAAAGCCCCCUGAGACAUGAUGUCACACACAGACACCACUCUCCUUGAAAAAGGGAGGGGCUGGGCCCUGGGCUCCCAGACUUAGCUGGGCUCCGGUGCCCUUCUAGGCUCGGUCCUAGAGCCGGACGGGGGGCGAGGAGGACGCUGCCUGGACUCUGAUACGGUCAGAGGGAGCUCUGCAAAUCGCCGACACCAUCGAGGUUGGCAGCUUUGGCAAGCCAGGCUCGAAGGCUGUCCUCAGUAAAGCACCCAAGCAGGUGAAAAUUGUCUCUACA